rnacentral:rRNA from 1 species
GACGAACGCUGGCGGCGUGCUUAACACAUGCAAGUCGAACGGAAAGGCCCUGCUUUUGUGGGGUGCUCGAGUGGCGAACGGGUGAGUAACACGUGAGUAACCUGCCCUUGACUUUGGGAUAACUUCAGGAAACUGGGGCUAAUACCGGAUAGGAGCUCCUGCUGCAUGGUGGGGGUUGGAAAGUUUCGGCGGUUGGGGAUGGACUCGCGGCUUAUCAGCUUGUUGGUGGGGUAGUGGCUUACCAAGGCUUUGACGGGUAGCCGGCCUGAGAGGGUGACCGGGCAAAAUGGGAAUGAGGAUAGGGCCAAAAUUCUAAGGGAAGCAGGAGGGGGGAAAAAUGAAACAAGGGCGGAAGGCCGAAGGAGGAAAGGCGGGGGAGGGAUGAAGGACUUCGGGUUGUAAACCGCUUUCGCCUGUGACGAAGCGUGAGUGACGGUAAUGGGUAAAGAAGCACCGGCUAACUACGUG